AAAAUAAAUUUUAGAUCGUUCUAGUGAUUAACUAACUUUCUUUGAGCAAGUUAUGGAAAAUUUUGAAGUUAUAAAAGCACUGUUUCUAGGCUUUGUUGAAGGCUUAACUGAAUUUUUACCUAUUUCGAGUACUGGUCAUUUAAUUUUAUUUGGUCAUAUUAUCGAU
rnacentral:rRNA from 1 species